rnacentral:rRNA from 1 species
AUGGUUUUGUUCACAGAUGACACUGGUUACUCCACGUGUUCUACCAUGAUUAGUGUAAUGCUCAUGCAUUGCAGUGAAGCGAAAAAAAAGGAGAAUGUUAGGGCACUUCUCAAUGUUACCAUGCCGGUGUUUGAAGAGAAGUACGUAAGGUCUACCUACUCCAGAAGGACGCAUGUCGAAAGACGGUUUCAAAACCUACAAGCAAGUCGGACCAAAAGGUUGAUUCAGUGGGGUGAUGGGCACCUAGCACAUGACCCUUCCUACAUAUAUCAUGGGUGUAUUCAAACUUCCUUUUUCGGUGUACGAUGA